GAGCAACGAGCCCCCUCACAGGCCUGCAGCCGCGUCGGGGCUCCCGCAACGCCCCCCGACGGGCCGGCCGGGAGGCACAGGCCGGCGCGAAGCCCCACCUCUUCCCGCAGCCCGCGGCCUCCUGCCCUGCGGCCCCCCCGGGCCAGCUGCCUUUCCGAGAGAGCCCCACGCGCACCGUCACGACGGCUGCGACCCCCCAGCUCCCCGAAGGCGCCCUGGGAGGGCACAGACCCAGCCGCUUCGGAAGGAUGGCUACUCGGUGAAAAUUCACCCCUUUGCCCCGAGAGCUCGGGAAGGACUUGAAGUUUCUACCUCCCCUCUUCCAACUGCGAUUUUUCUGGCUACGGCGUGGAUUUCUCAGCUUGGAGGUUUUUACUAUGAUCUUCAAGUGGUCCGUUAUUCUAUCUUCUUCAGGGUAUAUCGGUUCUGUUGUGAUGUCACCUUGCUACCUGAAAACUGGGUUUGCCUCUUGGUGGGUGUCGAGCCAACAAACACAACCAAGCCAAGAUCAGGAGAAGGAAGGAUUUACUACGACUUGCAGCAAAGAGGUCACAGUUUGACAACCUCGAGACAUCAUCAGGAGACCACCUGAUGCCAGAUUAAAGGAAUGCAGGCCCUUCGCACACCCUGAUCCUUAUCAGCAACCCCGCCCUUGAACCACUGCUGUAAAACUCACCAAACCCGCCCCCAACCCCGCCCCGAGUUGGGACACACAGUUUUGAGGGCACGAGCCUGCUGUGUCCCCCUCUGCCUGGCAAAGCAAUAAAGUUGUUCUUUUCUGCUUCACCCCAAAACUCUGUCUCUGAGAUCCGAUUCAACGCCGGUGUGCCGAGGCCGAGCUUUCAGCAUCAAGGGAGAUGCCACGCCCAUUAAGCACGUCCCCCACCUGCAGCUCCUGGCAGCCACUGGCCUGCUGUCUGUGUCUGUGGAUUUACCUGCCCUGCAUCUCUCACAGUAACGGAAUCACACAACAUGCGACUGCUGUCUGGCUUCCGCUCCACAGCACAAUGUUUGCAAGGUGCACCCAUGUUGUAGCACGUACUUUAUUCCUUUCCAGGGGUGAGUACUAUCCUGCUGCAUGGACAGACCACAUUGUGUUUAUCCAUUCAUCCACCGACGGA